rnacentral:rRNA from 1 species
UGAAACCAGGAUUAGAUACCCUGUUACUCUUUAUUUUAAAUUAUAGGUAUCUGGGUAUUAAACAGUUAUUGUCUUGAAACUCAAAGGAUUUGGCGGUAAUCUAGUCUAUUUAGAGGAACCUGUCCCGUAAUCGAUAAACCACGUAGAAUCUUGCCCUAUUUUGUAGAUUCAGCUUGUAUACCGUCAUUAUUAGGUAACUUUAAUAAAAAUUAGUUGCUGUAAUAGUUGUUUAUUAGUAUAUUAGAUCAAGGUGCAGCUUAUAGUAGGGUGGAGAUGGGUUACAAUAAGAUGUCUUUAGACGAAUUAAAAGAGUAUGUGUUUUUAUGAAGGUGGAUUUAAUUGUAGAAAGAUUUUAAUAUGUUCUUUCGAUUUUAGCUCUAGGUUAUGUACAUAUCGCCGUCGCUA